rnacentral:rRNA from 1 species
UACGAAGGGGGCUAGCGUUGCUCGGAUUUACUGGGCGUAAAGAGCGCGCAGGCGGUCGUUCAAGUCGAGUGUGAAAGCCCCCGGCUCAACUGGGGAGGGUCAUUCGAUACUGAUCGACUGGAAGGCAGGAGAGGGAAGCGGAAUUCCCGGUGUAGUGGUGAAAUGCGUAGAUAUCGGGAGGAACACCAGUGGCGAAGGCGGCUUCCUGGCCUGUUCUUGACGCUGAGGCGCGAAAGCUAGGGGAGCAAACGGG